GUGCUUGCUUCAGCAGCACACAUACUAAUAUUGGAAGGAAAGGAAGAUGAUACGGAUGAUUAAUGUGGCCCCUGUGCAAAGAUGACUUGGAAAUUCGUGAAGCAUUCCAUAUUUUU
rnacentral:snRNA from 1 species